rnacentral:lncRNA from 1 species
GAGAAUUAAACUUCAUCAUGCUGUUAAGGAAUGAAGGCCCAGCGGAAUAAGAAGAUGGCCCAACAGGGCAGCCCAGGUGGGGCGCCUAGGGUUGGGAGCCGCGGCCCUCCCCCUACUCGCACGCGCCCCCCUCCUGCCGUCACGCCUCCUUCGGACUCCAGGGGCUGCGCCCCCUUUAUGUAGUCGGAGUCCCUUUUGUUUACGACUUGAGUUUUGUUUUACAUCUAGCUUUAGCUACUCUCGAACACGCGCAAAUAAGCGUUGUCCUUGUGUGAUUCAGAACUCCACCUUCGAGUGAUAUUUAGAUUGCUCGCCUCUUUUUCUUGUUCGUUCUUCGAUUGCGGACAGGAAUCGAUCUUCGUGAUCAGGCUGAUCUCGCACCGGCGAGGUUGGUAACCAUCGGGAGUUGGUUCAGCGAUUGCAUUGGCGCUUCGGGUUCGCUCGUCGUAGUCGGAUCGUGAGGGUCUACUUCCACCAAGUGGAAUUUAUCUCCACUCACCGAAAGAUCGGGCACUCCGACUCUAUCAAGUGGUAUCAGCUUUCCAGGUUGAUCGGUGAGUUUUUACCGAGUGUUUUUCCCUUCCUACAGUCCACCAAAACCAAAACAAAUUUUUUCAGGUUAGAUCCUUGUCCCAGCAACCGUUUAGCCUCGCACAUUCUUUCAAUAAGUGUCUUUGUUGAAUUUGUGUGCCUACUCGUCAAUUGUUGCUGGUUACUUGUGUUUAAUCUCUUGUUUCUCGUUUUUCUUCUAACCCUAGUUUUCACCACCGCCGUUCCGCUGCUCACCAAUCCUACCACGCCGCGCCCACCGCCCCCCCUCGCGACAACCGCGCCGCACCAUCCCACCCCUCCGAUCGCCCGCUCCCCUAUCCAAAAAAAAAGGUAGAAAGCAAUAAAAAAAAGGGAAAGUGCAAAAAAAAAGGAAAGAAGCAAAAAAAAAAGAGAAAUCAAACAGGGAGAAGGAAGGUGAUCCGGUUUUGUUUCGGUGGAAACUUCCCUUGCGCGCGCUGUGAACCCCCCUGGGUCACGUUCCUCCGGGGCAACUCCGCACCCCUCCCCCCCACGCAUACCGCGCCCUUCCCCACGCACCCCAUUACAUCUUUUCAUAUCCAAAUCUCCCUUUUUUUACCGGAAUACCCCUGUACUUUCGGAAAAAGUGUGUGCCGCAAUUUGCUGUUUGAGAUCCUCUGUGUUCAUAUUAUCAGUUUUGGGGCACCCUGCAAAAAAAAAAAGAAAAAAAACAGAAAAAACAAAAGAGGUGCGCCCUCUCCACCUUUGCCUCUGUUCUUUCGGUUACCCUUGUUACCAGCAACUCUUGUUACGUGUUUGGCACUAUAAUUCAACUUUGCAUUAUUGUUUGAUUGUGCUAAUCCUUCAUUUGAGUGCAGCCUUCCCAGAACUCCACAUAGUUCUACGACGAGCAUAUUUUGUUUCUCCAGGCAAUCGCUCCCCCAAUCUUUCGCGAGUUCCACCGGUUGGUUGCAGUUCGCCCAUGUGUGCGUGGUAAGAACAGAUAAGAAUUUGAUAACAGCACUAGUGUGAGUGCCUUGUGAGCCGUUACACCCCUAUUUUGUCGUCGCUUUUGUUCUUGUAUUUGCGCUAACCAUGGCAGAUGAUGUCGACGCGGGGGAUAACUAGCUGCAGGGCAUAUGGGCACAAGUUGAAGGGCUUGUCACCGACAUUCAGACGAUUCAUGAACGGCUGGACUCGACGAUCUCCUCGACGACCGAGCGGUGUGAUCAGCUAGACCUUGCACAGACGGCCGCUAAGGCCACACUCGACACAGUUGUGGCAAGACUCGAUGCAUUGCACACAACAGUCACAGAGUUGCAGCAGGGUUAUGGUGGUGACUUGGACCAGGAUGAUGGCGACCGCCGAGGCCGUGCCCGCCGCGUGCCACGCCGUCCCGGUAAUGAUUCCUUUUCCAAGAUAAAAUUUAAAAUUCCACCUUUUAAUGGCAAAUAUGAUCCUGCUGCAUAUCUUGAUUGGGAAUUAGAAGUUGAACAGAAAUUUUCAUGCCAUGAUAUUCUUGCUAAUUCUCAAGUUAAAGCUGCUAUUAGUGAAUUUACUGAUUUUGCUUUAAUUUGGUGGCGUGAAUAUAAACACAAACAUCCCAAUACCAUUCCAACCACUUGGGAUCAAUUAAAAGCUGCUAUGCGCCACAUAUUUGUACCUUCUUAUUAUGCCCGAGAUUUGCUUAAUAAAAUGCAACGUUUUCAGCAAGGUUCCAAAUCUGUUGAGGAAUAUUUACAGGAAUUACAAAUAGGCAUGAUUCGUUGUGGGUUAUUGGAGGAAAACGACGCUGCUAUGGCACGUUUUCGUGGUGGUUUGAACCGCAAAAUUCAGGAUAUACUUGAUUAUAAGGACUACACAGAUAUGACAACAUUAUUUGAAUAUGCUUGCAAAGCUGAACGUGAAGUGCAGGGACGCCGCUCGAAGACAUAUUCUAACUCUUUUGCAGGAAGAAGCUCGACAUCCAACUCCGCACCCGCUCUCCCUGCGCCAUCCACGCCCUCCACUACACCGCGCGAGAGAACGGCCAAACCUGCAAGCGCUGCCCCUUCCACAGGCGCCGCCCCUCCCACAGGCCGUACACGGGAUAUUCAGUGUCAUCGUUGCAAAGGAUUUGGCCACGUGUUUCGGGACUGUCCGAACAAGCGCACUUUGCUUCUUCGUGAUGAUGGUGAGUAUUCUUCCGCUAGUGAUUCUGAAGAUACUCAACAUGCGAUGCUUGCCACUGACCAUGCAGCUAUGGAGGUACAUGUCAACCCGGGCGAUGCCGAUAGGUAUGAAAGUCUUAUUGUGCAGCGUGUUCUUAGUACACAGGUCACUCCGUCCGAGAAGAAUCAACGACAUACUCUUUUCCAUACCAAGGGCGUUGUGCAGGAGCGGUCGAUUCGCAUCAUCAUCGACAGCGGCAGCUGCAACAAUUUGGCGAGUACCACGCUGGUUGAAAAGUUGUCUUUACCCACUUGUAAGAAUCCAAAUCCAUAUCACAUUCAAUGGCUUAAUGAUGGUGGGAAAAUUAGAAUUACUCGAUCAGUUCGUGUUCCUUUCUCCAUGGGUGCUUAUUCUGAUUUUAUCGAUUGUGAUGUUAUUCCCAUGGAAGCAUGCUCUCUGUUACUUGGGCAACCUUGGCAAUAUGAUACUGAUAGCUUGCAUCAUGGUCGUUCAAAUCACUAUUCUUUCAUGUUUAAGGGUUAGAAAUAAUUAUACAUCCAAUGACACCUGAACAAAUUCUUAAAGAUGAUCUUGCUAGAGCUGCUAAAACUGCUAAACAACUUGAACUAUCGACGUCUGUUAAUUCUGAAAUCAAGUUGAAUGCUCCUGUUUUGCUUACUACACGUGCUGAUUUUGAUGAGUUACGCGAUGCUCCUUUGCCAUGCUAUGCCCUUAUAUGCUCUGGUGUGCUCGUUUCACUUGAUGAUGCACCAUCUUUGGAUAUCCCCCCUGCGGUUGCUAACAUUUUGCAGGAGUACGCUGAUGUCUUUCCAAAAGAUUUGCCACCGAGACUCCCACCACUUCGUGGCAUUGAGCACCAGAUCGUGUAGACUGUCGUGCUAUUAAUAACAUUACCAUUCGCUACCGAUACCCUAUACCACGCCUUGAUGAUAUGCUAGAUGAGCUUAGUGGUGCCAUUAUUUUCACUAAGAUUGAUUUGCGUAGUGGCUACCAUCAGAUUCGCAUGAAAUUGGGUGAUGAAUGGAAAACGACUUUUAAAACGAAAUUUGGGUUAUAUGAAUGGUUGGUUAUGCCGUUUGGUUUGACAAGUGCUCCCAGCACAUUUAUGCGUUUGAUGAAUGAAGUUCUGAGGCCCUUCAUAGGAUUGUUUGUAGUUAUCUAUUUUGAUGAUAUCCUCAUUUACAGCAAGUCUAUGGAAGAGCAUUUAGAUCAUUUGCGUGCUGUUUUUGAUGCGUUGCGUGUGGCCCAUUUAUUUGCUAACCUUGAAAAAUGCAUGUUUUGCACACAAUGUGUCUCGUUUCUUGGCUAUGUUGUUACUCCACAGGGCACUGAGGUGGAUAGCAGCAAGAUCGAUGCCAUUCGGGUGUGGCCUACACCGACGACGGUCACACAAAUUCGAAGCUUCCUUGGCCUUGCAGGUUUCUACCGCCAGUUUGUUCGUGAUUUUAGCUCCAUUGCAGCACCUCUACAUGAGCUUACAAAGAAGGAUGUUCCCUUUGCUUGGAGUGAUUCGCAAGAGGUUGCGUUCAACACCUUGAAAGAUAAGUUAACCAAUGCUCCUCUCUUGCAGUUGCCUGAUUUUACUAAAGUGUUUGAGCUUGAAUGGGAUGCUAGCGGUAUUGGGCUAGGUGCUGUUUUGUUACAAGAAGGAAAACCGGUUGCUUACUUUAGCGAGAAAUUAAGUGGUGCUAGCUUGAAUUAUUCUACUUAUGAUAAGGAGCUUUAUGCUUUAGUGCGUACUUUGCAUACUUGGCAGCACUACCUUUGGCAUCGCGAGUUUAUAAUUCAUUCUGAUCAUGAGGCUUUAAAACAUAUUCGUACCCAAACAAACCUGAACCGUCGUCAUGCUAAAUGGGUAGAAUUCAUUGAGUCUUUCCCUUACAUUAUUAAACACAAGAGCGGGAAGGAAAAUGUCAUUGCUGAUGCUUUGUCUCGUCGCUAUAUCAUGCUGUCACAGUUAGAUUUUAAAAUCUUUGGCUUGCAAACUGUGAAGGAUCAAUAUGUGGAUGAUGCUGAUUUUAAAGAUGCUUUCGCCCAUUGUAUUCAUGGCAAACCAUGGGGCAAAUUUCACAUACAGGACGGGUUCCUGUUUCGCGCUAACAAGCUGUGUGUUCCAGCUAGCUCGGUUCGUCGAUUGUUGUUACAGGAAGCGCAUGGAGGCGGUCUCAUGGGGCACUUUGGCGUCUACAAGACGCAUGAAGUGCUGGCUGCCCACUUCUUUUGGCCCCGGAUGCGCGUUGAUGUUGAGCGCCUUGUUGCACGCUGCACUACUUGCUAGAAAGCUAAGUCACGAUUGAACAACCAUGGUUUGUACAUGUCUUUGCCUGUUCCUACUGCCCCUUGGCUUGAUAUUUCUAUGGACUUUGUUUUGGGAUUGCCUAGAACUAAAAAGGGGAGGGACAGUAUUUUUGUGGUUGUUGAUCGUUUCUCCAAAAUGGCUCAUUUUAUACCUUGUCAUAAGACUCAUGAUGCUAGCAAUGCUGCUGAAUUGUUCUUUCGCGAGAUUAUUCGUUUGCAUGGUAUUCCAAAUACAAUAGUCUCUGAUCAUGAUGCAAAGUUUCUCAAUCAGUUUUGGAGAUCACUGUGGAAUAAAAUGGGAACUAAAUUGCUGUUUAGCACCACUUGUCACCCUCAGACUGAUGGACAAACUGAGGUGGUUAAUCGAACCUUGUCCACCAUGCUUAGGGCUGUUUUAGAUAAACACUUGAAACGUUGGGAAGAUUGCUUGCCUCAUGUUGAGUUUUCUUAUAAUCAUGCAACGCAUUCUUCUACAAAGAUGUGUCCCUUUCAGGUUCUUUAUGGUUAUAUUCCUCUAGCGCCUAUUGAUUUGUUUGCGCUUGAUGCCGAGGACGCCCCACACAUAGAUGUCGCUGCACAUGUUGAUCAAAUGAUUAGCUUGCAUGAGCAAACUCAACAAAACAUUGCUGCUGCUAAUGCUAAAUAUCAGGUUGCAGGUAGUAAAGGGAGAAAACAUGUUACUUUUGAACCGGGUGAUCUGGUUUGGUUGCAUUUGAGAAAGGAUCGUUUUCCUACUUUACGUCAUUCUAAAUUGAUGCCAUGUGCUGCUGGUCCUUUUAAAGUGCUAACUAAGAUUAAUGAUAAUGCUUAUAUCAUUGACCUGCCUACGAAGUUUGGUGUUUCCACGAGUUUUAAUGUUGCAGAUUUCAAACCGUAUGCGGGCGAAGAUGAGGAGCUGCAAUCGAGGACGACUUCAGUUCAAGAAGGGGAGGAUGAUGAGGACACCACGAGUACAUCUACACCAGCAGCACCUCAGGCGCCUCCAGUUGCUCCUCCACCUCAGGCGCCUACACUUGAUCAUCCAGUUGGGCCAAUCACUCGGGCCCAUGCGAGAGAAUUAAACUUCAUCAUGUUGUUAAGGAACGAAGGCCCAGCGGAAUAAGAAGAUGGCCCAACAGGGCAGCCCAGGUGGGGCGCCUAGGGUUGGGAGCCGCGGCCCUCCCCCUGGUCGCGCGCGCCCCCCUCCUUCCAUCGCGCCUCCUCCGAACUCCAGGGGCUGCGCCCCCUUUAUUUAGUCGGAGUCCCUUUUGUUUACGACUUGAGUUUUGUUUUACAUCUAGCUUUAGCUACUCUCGAACACGCGCAAAUACGCGCUGUCCUUGUGUGAUUCAGAACUCCACCUUCGAGAGAUAUUUAGAUUGCUCGCCUCUUUUU